CCCACUGAAUUUGAGCAUAAAACCAAGAGGAGGAAAAGAGACUGGUGAGGAUUUCCCUAGUAACGGCGAGUAAAUGGGAA
rnacentral:ncRNA from 1 species